CGACGGAACAGCACCGGGACGGAACCGCGGCACGACGGGAGCGGUGCUGAGCUCUGCGGUACCGGGGGGAGGGAGGGACGGAGGGAGAAGGGUGGGUGGAGAGCAGCGCCAGGAGGGGAGGGGAGGGGAGGAGAGGAGAGCCCUGUGCGGCCAUAACCCACCUCCCUGUGGGGUUGGGAAAUGGAUGUGGGAUUGGGGUUCGGAUGUGGGAUAUGGAAUUAGGGCUGUGGGAUCGGGAUUAUGGUGUGGGGUUGGGGUUGGGAUAAGGUCUGAGAUAUGGGAUUAGGGAUAUUGAUUGAGAUUGGGAUGUGGGACUCAGAAGAGGAGUAUAGGAUUCGGGGUCUGGGAUUGGGAUUUGCAUGGUGAUGGGGGCUGUGAGGUUGGGGUUGGGGUUGAGGAUUAGUGAUUUGGUAUUGGGAUUUCCGUUGGGAUGGGGGCUGUGGGUCUGGGAUGGGGGCUGUGGGGCCGGGAUGGGGGCUGUUGCCGUGGAAUAUUGGGUUGGGAUCGAGGUUAGGAUGUGGGAGAUAGGAUGAGGGGUGUGGGAUUGGGAUUUGCAUUGGGAUGUGGAAUGUGGGGCCGGGGAGUGGUCUAUUGGGGUGGGAUGUGGGCUGUGGGGCCGGGAUGGGGGUUGGGAUUGAGGUCCGGAUGUGAGAUGUAAAGAAACGUGCCCUGUUCACAGGUGGGGCGUGUGGUGUUGUGGGGAAGCGGCGCAGAUGGAAAGCUGCCGUGUGGAGCCCCACAGGACGAGUUGCAGAGGCCCCUGAAGGAAAAGGAGAAGGAAGGGCAUUUGCAGAGGGAAAGGCUGUCCCGCUGGCCUUAGGUGUUGCUGAACGGGAGGGGUGGCCAAUGCUUUCUCUUUCCACUGCCUCACGGAUGGUGGCAAAUGCCUUCUGGGGGUGGUUCCAGCAGUGGGAAGAAAACAGCUGGCAGCGGAGGGGUAAACCUCUUUGGGCUGCUGAGCUGUGUGCUGAACCAUAAGGAAGGUGGCUGUAAAG
ensembl:lncRNA